rnacentral:misc_RNA from 1 species
AAAGUCGUAACAAGGUCUCCGUUGGUGAACCAGCGGAGGGAUCAUUACUGAGUUACUACUCUCAACCCUUGUGAAUCUUAUUUUUGUGUUGCUUCGGCAGAUUUUCCCUGGGAGGGAAUGCAGCCUUUAAUGGUAAUCUGCCAGAGGCUUUUUAAAAACCUUAAUUUCAGUGGACUUUUUCUGAGAACAUUUAAAAUUAUUUAAAAACUUUCAGCAACGGAUCUCUUGGUUCUG